GAUCUAGCUUGCUAGAUGCUGACGAGUGGCGCACGGGUGAGUAACGCGUAUACAAUCUACCUUUAACUGAGGGAUAGCCCAGAGAAAUUUGGAUUAAUACCUCAUAGUAUUAUAGAGAGGCAUCUUUUUAUAAUUAAAACUCCGGUGGUUAAAGAUGAGUAUGCGUCCUAUUAGCUUGUUGGUAAGGUAAAAGCUUACCAAGGCUACGAUAGGUAGGGGGCCUGAAAGGGUGAUCCCCCACACUGGUACUGAGACACGGACCAGACUCCUACGGGAGGCAGCAGUGAGGAAUAUUGCACAAUGGAGGAAACUCUGAUGCAGCCAUGCCGCGUGCAGGAUGAAUGCCCUAUGGGUUGUAAACUGCUUUUAUACA
rnacentral:rRNA from 1 species